AUUAUUGUCCUUACCACCUUGAGUGUUCCCAGUCUUGUUUGAUCUCAGAAGCUUAGAAGGGGUGGGGGGCUUGGUUAAUACUGGGAUGGGAGACCUGGGAAUACUGGAAUGCCGUAGUU
rnacentral:rRNA from 1 species